UAUCAGCCACGGUCACUGUGGGCUCUGGAGAGUUUAGCACUGCUUUUAGUUAUACGAUGUUCCUUCCAGUUCUGCUGCUGCUGGCAGCUUCAUCCUAUGUGGAAUGUGCAGUAGAGCUCACUCAGGACACCUCAGUGAUGUUAAAGCCUGGAGAUUCUUUAAUCCUCAGCUGUAAAGUAUCCGGUUACUCACUUACUGAUGGCAGCUACGUCACAGCUUGGAUCCGACAUCCUGCAGGGAAAGCUUUAGAAUGGAUCAACAACAUUUGGGGGGGUGGAAGCAUGUAUCAUAAAGAGUCUCUAAAAAGCAAGUUCAGUAUUUCUAAAGAUGCCUCCAGCAGCACGGUGACACUGAGAGGACAGAACAUGCAGACUGAAGACACAGCUGUGUAUUACUGCGCUCGUGUAACACACAGUGACACAACAAGCUGCAGUGCUGAAUUUAGAAACACAGAGUCUGUCGAGGCUACAAACUCCUGGAAUUAAAAAUGCCCUUUAGGG